rnacentral:lncRNA from 1 species
CCUGGUUCUGAGCCACCAGAGGAGGCAGGAGGGGAUUUGGGGAGAAGCUAUGCUUUAACACACAGCUGUCCUAUGGUUCAUGGGAAGUAGAUACCCUCAACCUCAUACGAACUUAGGAGAAAAGACCUCAGUGGCAGAGUUGGCACCCAGGAGCAUGCAGAGGCUCAGCCUGGGGGACCUAGGGACUUGCUUCACAGCGCCGGCUGAGUUCUGGCAUGCUGUGCGUUCAUCUGUGUGAGCUUGUUUCCCUCACAGGACACUAGUGAAAAUGGACACCAGGAUCCUCAAAAUGGGAUGAGGCAGCCUAGGACCAAGGGUGCUGUCCCUUCUCAGUGACCUUUACCCAAGGUCCCACCAGGAUCGGCACCAUUCCUUCUCCGGUGGAGCAGUCCAGCCUGAGCAGCAUUGUGGAUGGGUGCGGAGUAAGGUGGGGUCCUGGGGCUGGUCCAGAAGGGGUACACAGGAGUGUGUGGUCAGCAAAAGGCCCAUAAUGGCUUGGAAACAAGGCAGCCCCUACCUCACCAGGCAGGGUUGACUUUGGAAGUAGAACCACCAAGAGUCAGUCUGAGUGCCAUGGUCCUUCCAAGAGGACUGGAUUACUUCAUUGUCAUUAAAAACCACAGUAUUCCUUGCAACUGCUGGAAUUGUCAGGCUGUCCCUGACUCUGUUGCCUGCCUGUGGAUCCUGUUCCCCUAAGUGGGCUGCCUUGUCUGGCCUCAGUGGGAGAGAAUCUGCCUAGCCCUGCAGAGACUUGAUGUACCUUGGAGGAGAGAGAUGGGAGGGGGAGCUACUACCUU